rnacentral:SRP_RNA from 1 species
GCCGGGCAUGGUGGCACGUGCCUGUAAUCCCAGCUACUUGGGAGGCUGAGGCAGGAGAAUCGCUUGAACCCGGGAGGCAGAGGUUGCAGUGAGCUGAGAUUAUGCCACUGCACUCCAGCCUGGGCAAUAGAGUGAGACUCUGUCUCAA